CCUACGGGUGACAGCAGUGAGGAAUAUUGGUCAAUGGACGCAAGUCUGAACCAGCAACGCCGCGUGAAGGAAGACGGCUCUCUGAGUUUUAACUUGUUUUUGUACGAGGGAAAAUCCCGCUAUGUCUCUUGGGUUGACCGCAUCUAACGAAUUAGGAUCGGCCAACGCCGUGCGAGCAGCCGCGGUAAUACGGAGGUUUCAAGCGUUAUCCGGAUUUAAUGGGUUUAAUGGGUGCGAAGGCGGGUCGGUAAGUUAGAGGUGAAAUCCCUGGGCUCAACUCCGGCACUGCUUCUGAUACUGUCGAGCUAGAGUAUAGGAGCGGUAGGCGGAAUUUAUGGUGUAGCGGUGAAAUGCGUAGAGAUCAUGCAGAACACCGAUUGCGAAGGCGGCUUACCAGACGACGACUGACGUUGAGGCGCGAAAGCGUGGGGAGCAAACAGGAUUAGAUACCCUUGUAGUC
rnacentral:rRNA from 1 species